GGGAGCAGAGAGGAGGGGGAGGCCCAGCGCAGGAGCAGGAGGGUAACUCUUUCUGCAGCAGCAGUCUCACUGACAGAGCGGAAAUCAUUUAAAGCCACAGCACCCCGCUCCCCUGGAGGAGUUCCUAAUGGCCAAACCAGGCAGGAGCGGUGAACCAGCAGGAGGCUCAGGGAGUCCACACAGCGCUCUGCAAACACCAAGUGUGAUGACCCAUGCCCAUGACUGCAGCACUUUGGAGGCUGAUGAAGAAGGACUGCAAAAAGAUUGAGGCAAGCCUGGGCUACACAGUGAAUACCAGUGUGGGUCCCUGGGCCUGAAGUCAGCGGUAAGCGUGGCAACAGACACCUACUGUACCCACUGAGCGUCUCACCAGCCCUCUUGGUUUUUAACAUUGGAAGAAACAGGCCUCGAAAGUGACCAGGGCAGGGUCCCAUAGUCUGUCAGUCGUCUUCCUUGGGACGAUUAUUUCCUCGGAGAACAUGGAGAAGGAGAGCUCAGAAAUCUCUUCAGUUAGCUGGAAGAAAUCUCCUGCUGCACUCUCCUUAGGCUUCUAGCAAGAUGUGGACGGUCUCCCCAGGAUUCCAGAAGUCUAGAUGUUACCUCCCUGUGACGCCGAACUCAGGAAUAGGCUCUUUCCUGAGAACAGCCUAAGCUCCUCCUCACACUGAGUCAUAAUCCUCAGUGUAUUGUCUGUCCCUAGCAAGACUGUUGGCUGUGUGAAGGCAAGGGCAUAUCUGUCUUGUCACCCACAUGAAUCUAGUGUCCAGUCCAGUGCCUGGAACACAGUCGGUCUUCAGUAAGUAUUUCCUGAGUGACUAAGCAGGCAGAGUUGGUCAGAGGAGUGCUGAAAGAGAAGGCUGAGUCGGUUAUCCAAACUCCCAAGGAGAGCUGGGUCCGGUUAGAGGCCCGAACCCACCUACUUUGUAGGCUAAAGCAAGGGAAUUGCAAGUUCAGGGCCUGCCUGGGCUACAGAGUGAGUUCAAGGCUAGCUCGGGCAACUUAGUGAGACCCUAUUUUCAAGUUUUUAAAAGGAGUAAGAGGGUUAGGGACUUAGUUCAGGGGUAAAGUGUGGCUGAGCACCGAGAGACCCCAGGUUCAGUACCAGGCAAUACAAACAACCCACCCUCAGAGUUCCUUUCCAACAAAGGGAUUUUAGCUAGAAGGUAAGGGGAACUACAGAGGGGAGGGAAAGCAGGAAACCAAAAGGCAGCGAUGCUAGUCCUUCUCAGCCACUGACUUUCUUGACCCUGGAGGCUUCUGCACAGAGGGAGUCUCAGCCUUGCAAGGGGAGCUGCCAGAAGCCUUCAAAGUGGAGAGAUCCAGGAGAGAGACAGCUCGGCUAGAAGGGAGCGAAGGGGAAGGAGGGAAGCCAGGGAGCUUUGAAUCUGGCACUGGGUUUGCAUUUGAUGCUGAGCCUGGGAGGCCCGCAUCCUGGGAGGAAGCAGCGAAGAGGAGUCUUCCUACUGACCCCCUUCUGUUACAUGGAGAACUUGGGAGGAGAGGCCUCCGGCUUCAGUUCCGUAGCGCCGCACUUGAGUACUACUAGGCGGAUCCUACCAUGCACAUCUGCACAUCUGGAAGCGGCUAAAACCGCCGGCUGAGUGGGGAUGGCAGGGCAAAGACUGCCGGUGGGUCCCUCCACACCUCAGAGGAGCUCUCUAGCCAAUCUACGACAUCCCCACUGAGGAAACGGUUUUUGCUAGUGGGUGUUAAGCCAGAUUUAACCACAAGGGGGCAGAAAAAGCAACCCUUAAGAAACGGGAAGAAGGCUAAUCUCGGAUCACAAGCAGUCCUGGGCUCCCUCUUCCCACCAUCCACAAGUCAAUUUUAUUGCAAGAUGCGCUUGUGGGUAGAGUUUCCAGAAACAGCCUUGGGCAGCGUUGGCACAGCGACAUGGCAUCAGAAGCAGGCACCUUCAUGCGAUUAUAUCCAUGCCGCACUUUUACCGGCCAAAGCCGACGUGGACACUCACUGGCACACCUGUGACAUCCCUCGUCAUGCAGCUACACACGGAAGUACGGUGGCUCCCCUAGUUGGCCAGUAGAGGGAGCCGCUCGAUUCCAGCAAAGGGCUGCUGGCUCCCCCUUCCCGGCUCUUUGGCUCCAGGGUUCCACCCAGAACUCGUGGCUGCCCAAAGCUGGGCUCUGUAUGCAGACCUGGAACCUACAUUGGGGGAGUGAGUCACAGCCACACCCAGGAGAGCGCUCCACAUGGCUGCUUCACAGGACAUACCAGACACUCUGGGGUUUUAUUAUGUACUACAUUAGAGACCCCUGCAACCCAGCCAUCAUUUCCCCUUAUAUUGAUUUAUGGACCUACUAUGAACAGGACUUGUGCCAAAAGGGAUCAUAAGAAGGGCGGGGCCUGGUUGUGUAUGCUUUUAAUCCCAGCACUUGGGAAGCAGAGUGAAUCUCUGAGUUCAAGUCCAGCCUGCUCUACACAGAGAAUUCCAGGCUAGCCAUGGCUAUCUGGUGAGACUCUGUCUCAAACAAAGAAGGCCAAGUGACUUGUCAUUUGUAUGGUGGGAGACAGAUCUGCAUAAAUAGCUGCAAGGUUCCUGUUUGUGAGCUGGUCCUCUGCCUGUGGUUAAUAGUAUACGGGAACCUUAGGGAGAGAAGAAACCCAACGUCAUUGGUCCACUCUCCUAAGUAGAGGGAUCACAGAGAUCAGCAGCUCUGGGCUCAAGAUUUUUGUUUUCCCUUUAAAUGAAGAUAGAUCUACAUAUAAAAUAAAAAACAAAAUGUUUCUAUUAAAAAAUGAUCCUUGGGCAUAGUGGUCCAUUCCUUUAAUUCUAGCACUCUAGAGGCAGAGGCAGGCAGAUCUCUUAGUUCAAGGCCAGCCUGAUCUACAGAGACAGUUUCAGGAUAGCCAGGGCUACAGACACUGUCUCAAAACAACCAACCAAACAAAAACCAACCCAAGACAUGGUCAUUUGAUAAUGUACAUAAAAGUACUCUGUAAAUCAUAAUGCUAUCACACAUACAUUUUAUAGUUAUAGUCUCUCCACUUUCAGGAUUUUUGUUUAUUUUUAUUUAUAUUUUAGGUAGACUCCCAUAUUUGCUCAGUUUGAGCUUAAGUUCUCUGUAUAGCUUAGGGCUGAGGGUGAUCUUGAACUCCCAAACCUCCUGCCU